GACGAACGCUGGCGGCGUGCUUAACACAUGCAAGUCGAACGGAAAGGCCCUGCUUGUGUGGGGUGCUCGAGUGGCGAACGGGGGAGUAACACGAGAGUAACCUGCUCUAGACUUUGGGAGAAGUUCAGGAAAGUGGGGCUAAGACCGGAUAGGAUAUCCUGCUGCAUGGUGGGGGUGGGAAAGUUUCGGCGGUUGGGGAUGGACGCGCGGCUUAUCAGCUUGUUGGUGGGGGAGUGGCUGACCAAGGCUUUGACGGGUAGCCGGCCUGAGAGGGUGACCGGCCACAUUGGGACUGAGAUACGGAGCAGACUCGUACGGGAGGCAGCAGUGGGGAAUAUUGCACAAUGGGCGGACGCCUGAUGCAGCAACGCCGCGUGCGGGAUGACGGCCUUCGGGUUAUAAACCGCUUUCGCCUGUGACGCAGCGUGAGUGACGGUAAUGAGUAAAGAAGCACCGGCUAACUACGUG
rnacentral:rRNA from 1 species